ACAAGUACAAGAAAUGAAUAUGUCAGAGAAACUGGAAUUGACAUGAGGGCAGAGCAGGCCUAAAAACCUGCUCUAAUGGGGACAGCUAGGAUUUUGAGACUGGUGAUGGGGUGUUGGGUGGCUUCCACGAUAAGUUACCAUCCAAGUACCAAAGCUUAUAAUUUGUGGAAAGAGACGCUGUCACACCUCUGAUAACACCAGGUUGCUGUCUGCUCUCACAGAAUCAACCAGAAAGAACAAGAGCUCA